GCCUUCUUAGCUCAGUGGUAGAGCGCGUCACUAGUAAUCCUAUUCGUUGCGAUGACGAGGUCACCUGUUCGAAACAGGUAGGAGGCA
rfam:Fomitopsis pinicola FP-58527 SS1 unplaced genomic scaffold FOMPIscaffold_38, whole genome shotgun sequence.